UACAGAGGGUGCGAGCGUUAAUCGGAAUAACUGGGCGUAAAGGGCGCGUAGGCGGUUGAUCAAGUGAGAGGUGAAAUCCCCGGGCUUAACCUGGGAACAGCCUUUCAGACUGGUUAGCUGGAGUACAGUAGAGGGUGGUGGAAUUUCCGGUGUAGCGGUGAAAUGCGUAGAGAUCGGAAGGAACAUCAGUGGCGAAGGCGACCACCUGGACUGACACUGACGCUGAGGCGCGAAAGCGUGGGUAGCAAACAGG
rnacentral:rRNA from 1 species